rnacentral:rRNA from 1 species
UACAGAGGGUGCAAGCGUUAAUCGGAUUUACUGGGCGUAAAGGGUGCGUAGGUGGCUAUUUAAGUCGGAUGUGAAAGCCCGGGGCUCAACCUCGGAAUUGCAUUCGAUACUGGGUGGCUAGAGUUCGGUAGAGGGCGGCGGAAUUUCCGGUUGUAGCGGUGAAAUGCGUAGAUAUCGGAAGGAACAUCAAUGGCGAAGGCAGCCGCCUGGGCCUGAACUGACACUGAGGCACGAAAGCGUGGGUAGCAAACAGG